rnacentral:rRNA from 1 species
AGUGGCGAACGGGUGAGUAACACGUGGGGUGAUUUGCCUUGCACUUCGGGAUAAGCCUGGGAAACUGGGUCUAAUACCGGAUAGGACCCUUCCCUUUAGUGUGGGGGGUGGAAAAGAUUUUUCGGUGUGGGAUGAGCCCGCGGCCUAUCAGCUUGUUGGUGAGGUAACGGCUCACCAAGACGAUGAUGCGUAGCCGGCCUGAGAGGGUGACCGGCCACACUGGGACUGAGACACGGCCCAGACUCCUACGGGAGGCAGCAGUAGGGAAUUUUCGGCAAUGGGGGAAACCCUGACCGAGCGACGCCGCGUGAGUGGAGAAGGCCUUCGGGUUGUAAAGCUCUGUUGUAAGGGAAGAACCGUAGUGAUAGGGAAUGAUCACUACCUGACGGUACCUUACCAGAAAGCCACGGCUAACUACGUGCCAGCAGCCGCGGUAAUACGUAGGUGGCAAGCGUUAUCCGGAAUUAUUGGGCGUAAAGGGAGCGCAGGCGGUUUAUUAAGUCUGAGGUUAAAGUUCGGGGCUCAACCCCGUGAUGCCUUGGAAACUGGUAGACUAGAGUGCAGGAGAGGUGAGUGGAAUUCCAUGUGUAGCGGUAAAAUGCGUAGAUAUAUGGAGGAACACCAGUGGCGAAGGCGGCUCACUGGCCUGUAACUGACGCUGAGGCUCGAAAGCGUGGGGAGCAAAUAGGAUUAGAUACCCUAGUAGUCCACGCCGUAAACGAUGGAUACUAAGUGUUGGAGUAGAACUUCAGUGCUGUAGU